AUCCAGCUGAUGAGUCUCAAAUAGGAAGAAACCCGCAUCCUGGAU
rnacentral:hammerhead_ribozyme from 1 species